AGUAAUUUUCCGCUUAAUCCGUUUUAGGAGCGGGGGACCCAAAUUUAUUAUACGGAUAUUUCCGUUAUGGGUGAAUUCUGAAACAGAAGGGGCUUAAUGUUUCCGAAGUCCCAACCCGAAAGCUAACCUCGUAAGCGUUUAAAGGAAGCGAUA
rnacentral:sRNA from 2 species